CACCAGCCUAACUUCCACCAGGGAAGCUCAGCAUAUCAAUUUCAGGUAUUGGACAUCCAUGAAUCUUUUUAUUUGAGCAGGGGUCUCACCUCACUCUAUGGCCUCCAUCUGACGUCUCUGCAGCUCUCUCCUUCUGGGAGCUGCGAUCUAGGCAAUUCAGGUCCUGGGCUGGGAAGAGAGGCCAGAGGAUCUGGCAAGGGAAGUGGGGUAGACCAUGUCUGGGCUUCCAGCCCUGUGGGAGGAAGCAGGUAGAGGUCCGACCCAUAGAAUCAGGCCACGGCAGAGGAGAUGAGCUGCAGAAUUACAGGGCACUUGCCUCCACACCUGAGAAACACAAACAGACCUUUGGCCACGGCAGCCUGGGAACCAGAAGCAGCACCCACUUUUCUGGGGUCAGACCAGUGCCCCUUUCUCUUUUUCUGCCAGGCCUGCCCGGGCUUGUUCUCAGUGGUUGCUGGUCACCAACCUAGGGCCACCCUAACUUCUCAUGACCUUGUGAUUCCUGACUGCUCAGCUCAAGGGCUACUUCAAAAGCUGCAAAAAGGUGGAGGAGAAAGCUGAGGGCUCCAGCUGCCCAAGAACUAGAACUAUCUAGCAUCUUCUUUCUCUCCCACUGCCCACCCGAGGCCUGCCUCUCACCACCAUUCAUCCUCAACCUGCUCCAGGGCCCAGCCUGGCUCCAUGUAAGCAAAGCUGCCAGCAGGGUCCUUUGUGGUGCUGCUCCCGUGUGGCACUGCCUAGGGGCCCCACCAUGGGGCAACAGAUGGACCUAUGGUCUCUACAGAACAAUAGUGGGGGAGGGGCCCUGGCAUCGCCCGCCCCAAACAGGAAGCGCUGCAUGAGCUUCAAAGAACUGGCAGGGCCAAGGGGCUGAGUGGCUGGAGCCAGUGCCAGGACCGGCGGCUGCCUGAAGAGAUGCCUGCCAGCCUCAGGAUGCCCAGCCUGCAGUGGGGGUGGGGCUGCAGUGGCCAGGGCAGCUGGGUCUCCGGCAGACGAGGCUUUGCACCCUCAGUGAAGCAGCCACUGACCUGAGACAGGCUGAGGGAAGGGGGCUCAGACACCAGGCUGUUUCCUGGACCUGCUGCCACUAGCUAGCGGGGCUGCAGGUUCUUUCCCAGGCCACAGUGGGUCUGGCCCUCCAGCAAGUAACCAUGAGGGGCAGGGCUGGCACCAAGCCUGCACCCACUCCCUGCCUCCUGCUCCCAGCUGCUCUGCUCAGAGCCUUUUCCUCUCCACUUCCUGUUCACACAGGGGGGGGCGGGAAGUGGAGGGAGGAAGUUGGGGGGAGGCGUGUAGGGGGGACCCAUUGAAUAAAAGGAAUUAACCGUUUCCCUCCUCUGACCUCUGGGAAUUUCCGCCUGUGAAAGUGUCUCGAAGAAUCUGCAGAGCUGGGGGAGUGGGGAGGAGGUGUG
rnacentral:lncRNA from 1 species